rnacentral:tRNA from 1 species
GUUCUUGUAGUUGAGUACAACGGUGGUUUUUCAAGUCGCAGGCCCUGGUUAAAAUCCUGGCAAGAAUU